UAUUGGUGCAGUUCACAUUCAGCGGGGCCUCUUUUCCACCAUUUUCAUUAGUUAUAGUAGCGAGUGGUGGCAAGAGACCUAGCACAAUGUGUAUCUGUCAUGGGGAAGGGAAGAGGCUUUUUUUUUUUAAUCCCUUCAAUAAAGCUUGGAGUAGAGUAAAGCAGAGACUCAUCUUCACAAAGACACAAAUGAAGCAGAAAAAAAAAAAGGCUAGAAGUGAAGUGUUGAAAAACAACAGAUACCUGUUGUGGUUCUGUGGUAGCAGAAGAUGGAGUGUGCUGAGGUUGUGCAUAACUUACCUGCUGCUGAAGCCAGUUGCAGCGGGGUCUCAGCAUAGUUGUCUUCUCCACUGUUAACAGCAGAGCCCUCAACAUGGGCACCAGCAUCCAAGAGCAGCUGCAACAGACACAUUAAAUACAAGGAGUUGAGAAAAGAACAAUUUAGGAAGACUUCACAGAAGAGUCUGUGUGUUAGAAAAGAAAACCAGUAGAUUCAUAAUGAAGAGUUCAUGCACACCAAAGGAACGUCUCAAAGGCUAAAGCAAAGCAUUGAUUGCAAGGCAAGUUUCUCAUGCGUUUCUUUAAUCAGCCUAGGGCUAAAGCCUCUGCUUCAAUGUCAGUUUAGAGACUUAUUUUCUGAUGUUUUACUGUACUUUGAAUUGUGAGUUUAUGCUGAAAAAAAAUCUCACCUGGCAGCUUGAGGAAUAUCUUUUUUCCUUUUUUUAAAUCUCAUUUAUGAAUCUGGAUUUGCUAUUGUAAUUUCCCAACUCCAAAGAGCUCUGCAAUCAGAGCUUCUCUUGGGCACAGGGAGUCCAUCAUUUAGCUUCAUGCUGUGCACAGGAAACAGCGCACACCUUCAGGGAGUUAGCCCUGGAGG